rnacentral:rRNA from 1 species
CAUCGUCAGCGAUCCUGGCAAUUGUACGGUUCGCGAUGUUCAGGGACCUCGGUCCCGCGGCACGCGUCCGUAUGAUUUUUUUGCCGGGUGUCGUCGUCGUGCACUUCUCCCCUAGUAGGACGUCGCGACCCGUUGGGUGUCGGUCUACGACCCGGGUGGGAGCCUGUCAUGUGUUACGCUUCACGGCGUCAUGUGGCAGACCCCCGGUUGUCCGACCAGCUGCCCGGCGGUACUCGCACGGUAUUGAGUCGCAAUUUGAACUGCGUCCGGCCCGCCGCAAGCGAGGCCAGUGUUUCCCGGAUGUACGGACUUAGCGCCGUCACCGGGCCUGGCCAGCUGUUGGCCGGCGGUGUCCUGGGACUGGCUCUAAAUACCGGUCGGCGACGCUACUGCUUUGGGUACUUUCAGGACCCGUCUUGAAACACGGACCAAGGAGUCUAACAUGUGCGCGAGUCAUUGGGAUCUGUUAAGCCUAAAGGCGCAAUGAAAGUGAAGGUAGGCCUUGCGCCAACCGAGGGAGGAUGGGCCGCGUCACGAUGCGGUUCCGCACUCCCGGGGCGUCUCGUUCUCAUUGCGAGAAGAGGCG